AAGUCGUAACAAGGUUUCCGUAGGUGAACCUGCGGAAGGAUCAUUAACGAAAUUGAUUUUACAUCUUUUUUUGUGAACUUUUUUUUUCUUCAGCCCUUUAGCUAAGAAAUUAAUUUGCUUCGGUUGUGUGUGCUUUUCUCUGGAAAGCCGCACAGCCGGUGAAAAAACUUUUUAAAAUUUAUGUCUAACCUAAGAAAUCUAAUUGAUUAAAACUUUCAACAACGGAUCUCUUGGUUCUC
rnacentral:misc_RNA from 1 species